ensembl:lncRNA
GGCUGCACCUGGAGCAUACGGAAGUUUCCAGGCUAAAGGUCGAGCCAGAGCCUCAGCUGCUGGCCACGGCCACAGCCAUAGCCACAGCAAGGCCAGAUCCAAGCCGCAUCUGCUACCUACACUGAAGCUUGCAGCAACGCUGAAUCCUUAACGCACUGAGUGAAGCCAGGGAUUGAUUCCACAUCCUCACAGAUACUAGUCCAGUUCAUUACUCCUGAGCCACCACGGAAUCUCCCCGGGACACAUUCUGAUGUAUUUCCUCUCCUUAGACCUCCAUCACCCUCUACUUGAUGGUAAGCACCAAGUUGGCAGGGCCUUCUGUGUCUUGGUUUUUUGCUGUAAUUGAAGUUCAAUAAACACCUGCUGGGGGAAGUGGUGCGUGUCCAUGAAGUUGACAAAUCCGCAAGUUGGAAGAGGCCUUGAAGGUAUCUAAUUCCUUUACCUCAAGAAACACGGAUGCUGGGACCUCGCCUACAAAGGACCCAGACCUCCUCUGUCACCCAAAUGCCUGGACAAUGCAGCUCAUCUCUGAAUGGAAAAUUGGCCCUGCGCUUACGCCCUUUCUGAUGGCAGGCGGCUCACAGCCAGGCUCGGAGCAGAUUCCUGGCCCAGAGCAGGUCCACCUUGCCGCUGGCCCAGCUGUGCCCUUCCACAGCCACAGGAAACACGAGUAAACAGCAAACAAAACUCCCAAACACAUGAGGAGAACAAAGUAGGGUCCAGCUGAGGCCCUCAUUCAGGGCAGGCCCCCCGGGAACACUGGGUCUUUGCAAACAACAUCAAAACACAUGUCAGGACCAAACAACACCCAAAUGCUAGAUCAAAGCGGAUUGUAUUCUGGUGCUUAAGCGACUCAAAUUUCUUGCAAUAGGACAGGAAGACAGGAAAAGAAAAAACAACCCUAGCCUUCCAGGCAACUUAUACUUUUUGAUUUUGUGGACUGAGCGUUUUUUAUGCUUUUGUGUUGGUUUCGAUUAAAGUUACUUAAUAUAUCCUCCACUCAAUGAAAAAAACAGCAACUACUAAAAAUGGGAGGAACAGCCCCACAGCAGCAGGCCAUUCAAGCGGCAGUGGAAAUCCACCCACCAAGGCCCUGGACCGUCUUCACUUUUGUUUGUGGGCCAAGCCCCAUGGAAGGGAAUGUGCUUCUCCACUUAAACAAGGGUCUGAGCGGAGGGCUUUCUCCAUCCCAAGGCCCCAGCCCAGACUGGUGCCUUGGCUUACUGCCCCCUUAAGGGAUGAUGUUUCUGUUUAAUUUUCAGGGUUUGGGUCUUGGCCCCCCUAUUGCCGAGGUCAGGGCACUGAUGGCUCUUUUUCAUGGCCCACAGAGCACAUGCUCACAGCAUCAGUGACUGUUGAUUCAUUAAGGGCCUCAUUUAAGCCACAUCAUCCAUUCUUAAGUCACGUAGGAACAUGAAUUCCUACAAAUCACAUCCAUUUAAAAUACAUUUGAAUUUAGCUAUAAAUUUAAUAUCUAAAAUAGGAUAUUCUAUUCCUUAGUGGAGACACCUUCUUUAAAAUUAAUUCUAUCAUCACAGGAGUUCCUGUUGUGGCACAGUGAAAACAAAUCCAACUAGCAUCCACGAGGAUGCGGGUUUGAUCCCUGGCCUUGUUCAGUGGGUUAAGGAGCUGGUGGUGUUGUGAGCUGUGGUGUAGGCUAGCAUGCCUGCCUCACUCAUCCACAGCAGGCACUCCAAAGUCAUCGGUUCAAUCAGCCGUGUGUGGGUCCUUCCAGAUGCUUCUUCACUUUGCCACCUACACCUGCAUAAACGGAAUCACUCUAUACAGUCCACACUAAGGAGCAGCGUUUUCAUUUAACUUGCCAGCGCUUCUUUUAAAGUACACCUCAGCCAUUUCAUGAAGCAAAGGAUCCUGUGGACAUGUUUUUUUGGGGAAAUGGGAUUCUUAAAUUAUUAACUUUUUAUGAUAAAGAAUUUCAGAAUUACAAAUGGACAGAAGAGAAUAACAAACCCUCAGGUACUCUCACCCAGAGCCAACAACCAUCCAGCCAGGGACAAUCCUGCCCCCUCUAUAUCCCCAGCCACCUCCCACCAGGGCUAAUAGGAAACGAAUCUCAAACGCUGUAUCAUUUCCUCUGCAAAUACUCCAGCAUCUACCCCUAAAAGCUAGACUGCUUUCACACAUAACCAUAACACUGUUAUUAAGAAAUAUAAUUGUUCCUCAAAAUAAUCAUUCACUGAACAAAUGUCCAACUGUCUCAUAAAUACCAUAAUUUUUGAAAGGAGAAAUUCUUGGCUCAAAUGCUGCUUGACCAUAUUUUGUUCAAAGCCUUCAAUCCUGGGAUGCUAUGUACAAGCAACCGAGGGAGGGGGCAUAGUCUCCACUGUCAUGGACAGCAGCUGAAACUUUUACACCAAACCAGGGACCGUGCCCCACUGGAGGAUCACAAGGGUACACCGAGGGCAGCUGAUGGGGAACAGCACUUGGGUGGCUGGAAUGCCUGGCACAGGUAGGGCACCACCAGGUAAACAUCCGUGCGUUCAGGAAGGGUCAGGCAGCUAGAAAGUGAGCCACUUCAAGGAAUUGGGAUGAUCCAAUUUGCUUAUCCCAAAGAUCACUUUAAUUGGUGUACGGAAAAGUGCCACCCCAGCUCUGGGCGAGGCCCACUCACGCUGCUUCCACCUGACUCAAUUAGCAGAUAUUUCCUCCUAAUAAAUCUCCACUUCCCCACAUCACUUCUGGACAGCAAGCAGGCUGCAGGAGCUGUGAGUCGAGCUGAAUCUCCAGGGCAGAGGAGCCUGCCUGACUGGCCCGCUCUUGGGUGACACCCUGAGACAUCCCCACAUGGCCACGGGCCCAAGUGGCACAGGUGGAGCUGGGGAAGCCACACCUGCCAAGGCCAGGGUGGACAGCAGUUUUUCUUCCAGCAAAUUCAUCUGUACGUUUUUACACAGCCAGCUUCACCCCAUGGCCACCCUGCAUGCCUGGAUGGCUGGCUGGUCCCUGCCGUCAGUCCCAGAAGAACCUGGGCGUGGGGGACUGGGAGCCCAGGGCUCCACUACCUGCACAUCAUCACCAAACAAAUCCUUAGCAUGAGGGAAGGGUCGCAGUUAAUUAUGGAACCAUCAGGAAGCCAAUGCACUUGCACAGCAGCAGAGACCUAACCCUGGCACAAUGGGAUGUCUGGUGUGUGUGGGGGGAAACGUAAGUCCCAACCACCAACCCAGGAGUUCUAGCUCCAGGCUCACCACACAGGUCAAGCGGGUCAGGAGAAAGAUCCUGGCCACCCUCCUGGCCGCACCCAUCCCUUCUCCACCAUUAGAAACAGAACCCAGAAGGAAGGGGGGGAGGCGAGGGCCUGGCCCUGCUCGGUGUGGGAGAGGCAGGCUCCCUCUAGAAGCAGAGAGGACCGCUGAGAAAACCAUUGAUCUGUGCAAGGCAAUAUUGAUUCUGCUGUGUGCCGGCACCAGCGGAGGGUCCUCCCCCCUCCCUCAGAGCCAGCCAUUAGCGUGCACGCCCAAGCACUGGCCUAGACAUCCCUGUCUGGUGUGGGGAAGAUGCUUGAGAUGAAAUCCGCCUUGGCUAACCCACAGGGAACGAAGCACAAGUGAAUGAUGUCAUUAAGAUCACCUCCCUGGCCCCCAGACCCACAGGACAGCUGUGUGGCAUGACCUUGCACCCCACUUCUCAGUCGGGAU